UUUUUCCAUGUUUCUGGCCAUUGCAGUGUGGCUCUGAUGGGUAGUGUUGUGUUCCAGUUUUAGCUAGGGUUAGGGUUUGGGUUGGGGUGAUAGGUAGCAUUGAAAUUGAAAUGCCUGUGUCUUCAAGUGUGGGUUUGAAAGUGAGUACUAGCGUAAGUUCAUGGUGAGGGUUAGGUGUAAUGUAGAAUUUCAAGUCCCUGGGUAUUGGAAUGCGGUCCUGCUGCGUAGAUUUAGGGUUAGGAUUACUUUUAGGUUUAGGGUUCCAAUGCAUGUACCUGAGGUUUGGAGUGUGGGUAUGAGUUUUAGGUUUAGGGAUCCUCUGUUGGGAAAUGUCAGAUAGUGCAGAAGCCCAGGUCCCUGAAAAUCACUUCUGGACAAUACGGUUUGUGUCCGAAUUCAGCUGACAGUUAGGGAUGGCACGUGGAUCAAGUACCUGGUUAUUGUAGUGUGAGUAAGAUUGUUCGUGUUAGGAUUAUUGUUAGGUAAGAUAUAGUGUAAUUUUACAUGUUCCUGGACUUUGCAGUGUGUCUCUGAUGGGUAGUUGUAGGGUUAGCGAUGUAGCUAGGGUUAGGCUUAGGUUUGGGGUCCUGAACAGCGUUGCCAUUGAAAUGCCUGUGUCUUCCAGUGUGG
rnacentral:lncRNA from 1 species